AAAAAAUAAAUGAAAUAAAAGAAUAGAAAAAGAGAAAGAAGAACAGAAAAGAAACAGAGAAAGAGACGAAAACAGGGGAAGAAAAAGGGAAAAUAAAAGAAAGGGGGAAAAUUGAGAUUUUGAAGCUUGAAGUUUAAUAGGUAAGCUAAAUCAAGUCCUUUUCUCAUAAAUUUGAUGUUUUUUUGGAAUCCUAGAGUGAAAUACUCUUGGAUUUAAGUUAAAAAUUUGAAAGUUAAUAGAUUUUUGAGUAGGGUUUAUGUUGAAUAAAUGAUGGAAUUGAGGGUUUAUUUGAUAGAGUUUCUAGUUAGAGUUGAUAAAAGGAUUAAAUUGUGAACUAAACUAUAAGUUUUGAAUUUUAGGGAUUAAAUUGAGGAAAAUUCGAAAUUAGUGAAAAAUGCUGAAAAAAAUUAGUAGAUAAAUUUGAGUUUGGAAGAAAUUUGAAUAGAAAUAGUGUGUGAAUUAAAUUAGAAAAGUAAAUAAAUUUAGUUAGGAUUAAAUUGGAAUUAAAGUAUAAAUUAGAUAGAAAUUCUAUUAUUAUUAUAAAUUAAUAUUGUAAUUAAUAGUGUAAAUUAUUAUUAUUUUCGUAGCUAACAAGGAAAACGAGGCAUCGGCAUCCAAAGGAAAAGAAAAGAUUGUUGAGGAGUAAACGCGUAUUCCGGAUUUGUAUUACUAUAACUUAAACUAUUUACUAAAUGCUAUAUUGAAAUAUAUGUGAAUUGAAAUAAUAGAUGUUUUGAAUUGUUUGAGUAUUUGAGAUUGUUGUGGAAAUGAAUUCGAAAUUGGAAAAGUAAAAUAAUACCCUAUUAACUUAUCGGACUAGAUUGGAUACAAAUGGCAUGCCAUUGAAUUUGUGAUGUGAUGAUGAGAUUUGUAGUUCGGCCGAGAAGAUGAUUAUAUUAUUAUAUGCUUCGGUUUAUCCGAAGAGGCAUUUAAUGCCUUAUUGGUGUGUUAUGGAGGAUUUAAAUAAUUUCGGGUGUGUUUAGGUUGGAUAUUCUGGUGUGUUUGGGUGGAAUCCUCGUAUCUGUCAGAGUCCGAGCCUUGUUAAUAGGGUAAAUAAUUGAAAUGAAAAUUUGAAAAUGAAAUUUGUUGAUUUGUCACUAUAGAAAAAUACGAGAAAGAGUGUAUGAGUUAAAUUAUGAAUUGAAUUAGUAUGUAAAUAUAUAUAUUUAAAAUUUAUGGAAUGAUAUAUGAAUAUGUAUAUUUAGUUUAAAAUGAUUUAUAAAGCUUAUGGUCAAUAUUUGAAAUUUUAUUAUUAUUAAAUAGUAUAAUUUAUAGUAAUACCACUGAGUAUAAAAAUAUUCAACAUACGGUUGUUUCCGUGCGCAGGUUGUAGAAGUCAAGUACUGAUCCAGCAUCCAAAACUAGACCCGACUUCAGCAAAUUUUGGUGAUGUAUAUUUUCUUUUGGUAAUGUGGCAUGUACAUAGGAUGUGUAUAAACGUUAUUAUGUUUUGAAUAUAAAUAGUUAAAAAUGUUAGUAUUAUAAAUCUAAGAAUUUUAAUGAAAGAAAUUUAUCCAUUCCAAUUUAAUUAGUACAUUGAUAAAUUUAAAUUGAUAUUGAAUUAAUUGAGUUUGAUUAGAAAGUAUUUAGAAUAGAAAAUGUGAAUGUGAAAUGAAUUGGUUGAAUUGGUUAUGUUUGGAAAAAUUAUGGUUUUAUUUGCAGGAGGUUUAAUGUAAAAAUAAACAGAAAUGCUGCCGAAAUUUUUAUAAAAAAAAAACCGAAUGAAGUCAAUUAGUAAUGUUUAUAUGAAUUUAUGAUUUAUAUAUUUUUUUAAUAUGUUGGUUAUUUAUGAUUUGUUUAUUUGUAAAUUGUUUAAUAUGUCCGGUAAUGUCUCGUAACCUUGUUUCGGCGACGGUUUGGGGUUAGGGGGUGUUACAAAGCCAUUAUGUAUGAUUAAUUAAGUUGAAGCAUUGGGAAUUAGGGUUUAAUGUGGAAAGAAACAACAUGCGAACCCUUUUUAUGUAAAUAACCCGCGAACCCUAGGAGAACUAUUAUGUGAACCCUCAUGUUAUAUAGUAUAACAUAGUGAAUUGUUAAUACAUGCAUGCGAACCCUAGGUGAACUAUUAUGCGGACUUUUAUGUGAAAUGUUAAAGCGGACCCUUAGUACAUGUAUGCGAACACCUUUAGAGAAUAUAUGCAAACCCUUAGUACAUUUAGGUGACCCCUUAGUGAAUAUGUAUGUGAACCCUUUAUGCGAACCUUCAUGUGAUAUAGUAUGUGAAUUCGUAUGUGCGAACCCUAUAUGUGCGAACCCCCUGUGAUUUAGUGUGCUAAGCCUAUAUGUGUACCCUAUGUGUGAACUUGUUAUGUAUGUGCUAGCCAAACUAGAACGAUAAACAAUCUAAUAUUAAUAUAAUAUUACAAGUUUAAUUUGCAUGAAAAAUCUGUACAUGUGAAAAUUGAUAUGAAUGAAUGCAUGAAAACAUGUAAUUUGGUGAUAGUAUGUGAUAAUUAACGUGCUUGACAAGUAUUGCACCGAUUGUUGACAAAUAGCAUGAUAUGAUGAGUUUAUGUGCAUGAUUACAUGAAAUUGGGUAUGGAGGACGGAGGAGUUCUGUAGGAGAAAGUGGGAAUUUAAGUCCACACCGAAAGUCAGUACUGCAUGAAGUAGGCGACAAUUCAUCGAAGCCAAGCAAACCAGGAUGAUAGUUUUAAAAGCCAUCAAAAUCGGGCAGCCGAGAUGAUAAGUUAUUGUAGUAAAAGUCAUCGUCACAGAUGACAAGUCAACAACCAUCGUCACUGGGAAAUCUUGGAUGGUCAAUUAUUGAAAUGUGUUUUGGAGUGUUGAACGAUGCUCGAGGGCGGAUAGGAUGGAUGCGUGAGAACUUAAAAUUAAAAUUGCAUUGCAUCAUGAACAUAACCUAUACAUGCAUUGAUUUACUGAAUGCUCCUUACAUUAUGCUUAAUUGCUAUGUUGCUAUAAAUUAAUGCUUUACUAUUUGCACGGUUAUAUGUAGUGGUAAAAAUUAGACACACACUGAGUUGUCAUAAGCUCACUCCCUCUUUUUCCUUACCUCUUAGGUAAUGCAGGAAACUAGGACUCAGAAUGGCAUUAGAGGAACCUCGGACAGCUUGUUUUUUUUUUUUUUAAGUUUCCAUUAAAGUUUCCAUUAAUUAUUUUUGGGUUGUAAUUAUUAAUUAUUUAUUGCUUUUAUAUCUUAAAGAUUGUUUAGCUUGUUAAUUUUAAGCAUGAUACUUAGUUAAUACUAUGAUAAUUGCAAAGUACUUAAAGUUUUAAUAAGUCUUUU
rnacentral:lncRNA from 1 species